GGUGUGCUCUCAUGGCAACUGGCCGAGGAGGCACCCCUCUGCGCAGAAGUAAAAUUGUUUGGCUAGGAAUUCUUUGUUCGAGUGUUCAAUUUCCUUAGGAUUUGAGCGAUAUUUCUAACACUGGGGUUACAGGCGUGCACCACCAUGCCCGGCUAAUUUUUGUAUUUUUAGUAGAGACGGAGUUUCGCCAUGAUGGCCAGGCUGGUCUCAUGAUGGUCACUCCUGGCCUCAAGUGAUCUGCCAGCCUCAGCCUCCCAAAGUGCUGGGAUUACAGGCCUGGCAACUGCACCCGGCCUCCAUUUGUAUAUUUCAAAACAUCCUUUGAAAUAAUAGGCAGUAGUAAGUAAACUGUUUUCCUGGGUUCUGUUAGCCACUACUGCCAAUUAUUGAACCUGAGGAGGAAGUCAAAGGAACCUCCAAUUUUUAGCCAAGUUGGACAGAAGCUGUGGGCAAUCUGGAGACCUCUACUUGUGAUUGGCAUCUGAAGUGGGGGGCAGUCUUAUGAGACUGAGCCCUUAACCUAUGGGAUCUGACACUAUUUCCAGGUCAGGCUGCUAUCACAGGACAUCCUGAGGAAGCAGCUCGGAAGCCUUCCCGAGGAGAGUGGGAAGAUCCCGUGAGCAAGCAGGCACGUGUGGCUGUGGGAUUGGGUGAAGAACUGCACUCUGACUCAGCUUCCCAUCUUCAUGGCCCAGGAGCAAAUUCCUCAGGAUCCUGAAAGAGGUAUCAGAUGAUGAUGACGAUGAUGAUGAUGAUGAUGAUGAUGAUGAUGAUGAUGAUGAUGAUGGUGAUCAUAUCCAGAGAGAAGCAAAGUGAAUGUGCCCUGGACAACUUUCAGGAAGACAGUUCUGGUCUGUAGCAAUUAACACAUGGUCAUCCUCAGAAAAAGGAGAUACCCAUAACUUAAAAUGCAGGAACCAAGAGAUUUGAGCCUAGACAUUUGGAUGAAAAGCGAUUUCCACCUGGAGAAAGUCACUGCCCUUCUGUGCAGAGUACCAUUGUGUCUUGAAUCCAGCUUGGCCAUAAGGAAAUGGGGCGAGACUUUGUCAUGUAUGUCGCUGAAGUUCAGCUAUGCAAAAAUGUUCACCUAUCCUUGAUCAACCAGUCCAGGAACCAUCAAAGAAGAAAAUGAGAUUCGACUUAGAAGACCUGUUCUUUAUAAACCCCUGCACAGCCCUAAUGAUCAACACCACUUCCAGUGCUCAUAAAUUACUGCUUCAAUAAUUGUUCUGCAAUUCUGCCUAUUCUCAUUGAAUGCUUCGUAUAAUCCCUUUAUUUACUUUGGGCUACGAUUCAUUUUUAUCAGUCAAAUGACUACUAGACUAUCCUGGUUUCUAAUUUGAAAUGUAUCCAAAGAAGAUUCCUGUCUCACCCUCUGCAAUCCACUUGCAUGUCUGACCACACUCGGUGCCUACACAAUCUUCACUUUGUCUAGCCUAAAUUCUUCUAACUGUGGCCUAAGGCCUUGGAAGAAUGAUGCCUCUGUGGGGUAAGAACUGCCUUCGUGGCAUAAGAAAGGCAGACCUGGGUGAUCUGGAAGGGCUGUUGCAAGGGGAUAGGAGUGCUGAGGCCUUUUCCAUUAAGAAUACACAGGACUAUGGAGACUCUUGUUUUACUAGAAACUUCUUCACAGAUACCUUAAAUUAGGAAGAAAAUGCCUUUGGUUCUUGGUUCUACUAUUGGCUUCAAAUUCUUAGGCAUGCCAGACCCUACUGAACAUCUUGACACAUGUCCUUUCUUCUCUGAACUGGCGCACAGGCAUGGUGAGUAACU
rnacentral:lncRNA from 10 species